GUCCCUGUAGCGCAGUGGAUAGCGCAUUGGACUUCUAAUUCAAAGGUCGUGGGUUCGAAUCAAACCAGGGAUG
rnacentral:tRNA from 1 species